rnacentral:rRNA from 1 species
GUGUCGGCAGCCGCGGUAAUACGUAGGGUGCAAGCGUUAAUCGGAAUUACUGGGCGUAAAGCGUGCGCAGGCGGUUAUGUAAGACAGAGGUGAAAUCCCCGGGCUCAGCCUGGGAACUGCCUUUGUGACUGCAUAGCUAGAGUACGGCAGAGGGGGAUGGAAUUCCGCGUGUAGCAGUGAAAUGCGUAGAUAUGCGGAGGAACACCGAUGGCGAAGGCAAUCCCCUGGGCCUGUACUGACGCUCAUGCACGAAAGCGUGGGGAGCAAACAGGAUUAGAUACCCUGGUAGUCCACGCCCUAAACGAUGUCAACUGGUUGUUGGGAAUUAAUUUUCUCAGUAACGAAGCUAACGCGUGAAGUUGACCGCCUGGGGAGUACGUUCGCAAGAAUGAAACUCAAAGGAAUUGACGG